AUAUCAGUCAUGCAUAGCAUAUCAAUAAGCGGAGGAAAAGAAACUAACAAGGAUUCCCCUAGUAACGGCGAGUGAAGCGGGAAGAGCUCAAAUUUGAAAUCUUAAAGGGUUCUCCCUUGACGAAUUGUAGUUUAAAGAAGUGUUUUCUGUUGGAGUUUCGGUAAAAGUUCUUUGGAAUAGGACAUCAUAGAGGGUGAGAAUCCCGUAUUUGACCAUUACUUUCCAAGCUGUGUGAUACACUUUCAAAGAGUCGGAUUGUUUGGGAAUGCAGUCCAAAAUGGGUGGUAAAUUUCAUCUAAAGCUAAAUAUUGGCGAGAGACCGAUAGCGAACAAGUACCGUGAGGGAAAGAUGAAAAGAACUUUGAAAAGAGAGUUAAACAGUACGUGAAAUUGUCAAAAGGGAAGCGUUUGACACCAGUGUUGUUUAGUUGAAAAUCAAUUCAAUAAUUUUUGAUUUUGAGUAGUAUUGACUUCAUCAGCUUGCUGCUUUCUUUUCAGAAAUUAUUGAAUGCACUUUUCAGUUAACAAGUCAACAUCAAUUUCUUUUGUUGUAAAAGGGUAAGAGGAAGGUGGCUUACGCUUCGGCGUAAGUGUUUAUAGCCUUUUACCUCUGCAAUCGGAGAGAUUGAGGACAGCAGCGUAGACUCUUCGGGGUUAGAUACACUUGUGCUAAGCUAUAGCCUUGUAUAGACAACUUGUUGACUAUGCUCAGUCAUGUAGCUUACUCGCUUGUGCUAUUUUACCUACGCUUAGGAUGUUGAUGUGAUACUGCGAGCA
rnacentral:rRNA from 1 species